AUUGAACGCUGGCGGCAUGCCUUACACAUGCAAGUCGAACGGCAGCACGGGAGCAAUCCUGGUGGCGAGUGGCGAACGGGUGAGUAAUAUAUCGGAACGUGCCCAGUAGUGGGGGAUAACUGCUCGAAAGAGCAGCUAAUACCGCAUACGACCUGAGGGUGAAAGGGGGGGAUCGCAAGACCUCUCGCUAUUGGAGCGGCCGAUAUCAGAUUAGCUAGUUGGUGGGGUAAAGGCCUACCAAGGCAACGAUCUGUAGUUGGUCUGAGAGGACGACCAGCCACACUGGGACUGAGACACGGCCCAGACUCCUACGGGAGGCAGCAGUGGGGAAUUUUGGACAAUGGGCGCAAGCCUGAUCCAGCAAUGCCGCGUGCAGGAAGAAGGCCU
rnacentral:rRNA from 1 species